GUCUACAGCCUUACCACCCUGAACACACCCGAUCUCGUCUGAUCUUGUGUAGGUAAGCAGGUUUGGGCCUUGUUAGUACUUGGAUGAGAGACCGCCUGGGAAUACUGGUUGCUAUAGCCU
rnacentral:rRNA from 1 species